rnacentral:ncRNA from 1 species
AAUCUUCAGGGCAGGGUGCGAUUCCCUACCGGCGGUAAAGCCCGCGAGCCGAAAGGCAGAUUCGGUGAAACUCCGAAGCCGACAGUAUAGUCUGGAUGGAAGAAGAUG